rnacentral:misc_RNA from 1 species
GUGAAUCAUCGAAUUUUUGAACGCAAAUUGCGCUUCCUGGCAUCCCGGGAAGUAUUCCUGUUUGAGGGUCAGUAUUAAUAAAAAAUCGGUUUAGCUCCAAAUUGUGACGUUUCCGGUGUUUGGGCUAUCUUCACUUUUUUGGUUAAGAGGCUUAAAAUUGACCUUUUUUGCGCAUUUUUACACGUACAUAAAUUUUUUUUAUUCUUCUAUUUUUAAUGCCAAUAUCUUAUUCGAUGCUAUCACAUCGUGUGGCUUCUUUUCCAUAAAAUUUUCAUUAUUUGACCUCACAUC